UGUGUCUCGAUAUCGCUCUCUCGUCCUCUGGAUAGAGCUCUUUUGUUUUAGCACCUCCAUAUCACUUUGUCCCCACCUCCUCCACCCCCUGCAGAGAUGGAUAGAUAGACGCUAUGCUUUCCCCUACUGUACCUGCCUGCUUUCACCGCCUGUCCCCAGACGCGCCUCGCACACGUCCUGAGCAAUCUGCGCCCACCGACCUGGCUGACUGUCAGCCCUGAGGAGAUGGAGUGCCCGGCUUCAUGUGGCGGGGGGGAGGGAUGAGGGAUGCACGGCCAUCCUAACAUCUGUGUGCCCUGUGGGAACUACGAAGCAGCACUUUGCAGGGAAGUCAGACUAGUGGUGUGAUACCCUGAGCCCCAGUAAGGAUACACUGUAGAAGACACUGACAGAAAGGGUGGAAUAGCACUUAGCACAACAAAUUGUUCAGGGUGCUGCUCUCUGCUCUGCAGACCUAUUGUUGGAUAAAAUCGUAUUUGUUUUCUUUCAAAUGUUUAGCUGUGCUUGAUUGGGUUUGUUUGGCACUGUCACGCCCUGAUCUGUUUCACCUGUCCUUGUGAUUGUCUCCACCCCCUCCAGGUGUUGCUGAUUUUCCCCAGUGUAUUUAUCCCUGUGUUUCCUGUCUCUCUGUGCCAGCUCGUCUUGUAUGUUUCCAAGUCAACCAGCGUUUUCCCAUUUCUCCUGCUUUUUGCGUUUCUCCUUUUUCUAGACCUCCCGGUUUUGACCCUUGCCUGUUUCUGGACUAUGUACCUGCCUGACUGACCAUUCUGCCUGCCUCUACCACAAGCCUGUCUGCCACUCUGUACUUCCUGGACUCUGAUCUGGUUUUGACCUUUUGCCUGUCUACAACCAUUCUCUUGCCUACUUCUUUUGGAUUAAUAAAAAU